CCCCAUGAUUGGCCCUGCUCUGGGCUUGACAGGGGGGAGCGCCCAAACCCUCUGAUCGGCCCUGCACUUUGUGUGACAGAGUACGGCACCCCAACCCUCC